rnacentral:rRNA from 1 species
UACGUAGGGUGCAAGCGUCAAUCGGAAUUACUGGGCGUAAAGCGUGCGCAGGCGGUUUUGUAAGUCUGAUGUGAAAUCCCCGGGCUCAACCUGGGAAUUGCAUUGGAGACUGCAAGGCUUGAAUCUGGCAGAGGGGGGUAGAAUUCCACGUGUAGCAGUGAAAUGCGUAGAGAUGUGGAGGAACACCGAUGGCGAAGGCAGCCCCCUGGGUCAAGAUUGACGCUCAUGCACGAAAGCGUGGGGAGCAAACAGG